rnacentral:rRNA from 1 species
UAAAACGUAGGGGGCAAGCGUUGCCCGGAUUUACUGGGCGUAAAGCGGGUGUAGGCGGUUCAUUAAGUCAGAUGUGAAAUCCUACGGCUCAACCGUGGAACUGCAUCUGAUACUGGUGAACUUGAGGACGGUAGAGGUCGGUGGAAUUCCCGGUGUACCGGUGAAAUGGGCAGAUAUCGGGAGGAACACCAGUGGCGAAGGCGGCCGACUGGGCCGAUCCUGACGCUGAGACCCGAAAGCCAGGGUAGCGAACCGGAUUAGAUACCCGGGUAGUCCUGGCCGUAAACGGUGCGAACUAGGUGUGGGGGCUGUCAUGGCCUCCGUGCCGAAGCUAACGCAUUAAGUUCGCCGCCUGGGGAGUACGGCCGCAAGGCUA